rnacentral:rRNA from 1 species
UACGUAGGGUGCAAGCGUUAAUCGGAAUUACUGGGCGUAAAGCGUGCGCAGGCGGUUCGGAAAGAGAGGUGUGAAAUCCCAGGGCUUAACCUUGGAACUGCACUUCUAACUACCGGGCUAGAGUACGGCAGAGGGGGGUAGAAUUCCACGUGUAGCAGUGAAAUGCGUAGAGAUGUGGAGGAAUACCGAUGGCGAAGGCAGCCCCCUGGGAUAACACUGACGCUCAUGCACGAAAGCGUGGGGAGCAAACAGG